GAUGAACGCUAGCGGCAGGCCUAAUACAUGCAAGUCGAACGGUGUCUUCGGACAUAGUGGCGCACGGGUGCGUAACACGUAUGCAACCUACCCUACAUUGGGGGAUAGCCUUUCGAAAGGGAGAUUAAUACCGCAUAAGACAGUAGCUGGGCAUCCAGCAGCUGUUAAAGAUUUAUCGAUCUAAGCUUGGCAUGCGUCCAAUUAGCUAGUUGGUGAGGUAACGGCUCACCAAGGCAAUGAUUGGUAGGGGAACUGAGAGGUCAAUCCCCCACACUGGCACUGAGAUACGGGCCAGACUCCUACGGGAGGCAGCAGUGGGGAAUUUUGGACAAUGGGCGCAAGCCUGAUCCAGCAAUGCCGCGUGCGGGAAGAAGGCCUUCGGGUUGUAAACUGCUUUUGUACGGAACGAAAAGGCUCUGGAUAAUACCUGGGGCUCAUGACGGUACCGUAAGAAUAAGCACCGGCUAACUACGUGCCAGCCGCCGCGGUAACAC
rnacentral:rRNA from 1 species